CAAAGGAGGAGGAAAAACCUGCCGUCUGGACCGACAUCAUUUCACAUUCAUUAACUGUGUUUUUGGGAAGAUGAAGGAGAACAGACAAGGGGUAACCUAAUCUUACAGCUCAAGAUAAAUUUAAGUCCACCAUUUGCUACUUACCAAACAUGGAACUGACUGAUCCAGCCAUUAGCACUUGCUGACUCGAGUUGAACACCUCCACAUCAAUUAUUCCUUUGCGGAUGGUCUCACUGACUCUGGCACCCAACAGCACAGAACCCACUGUCUCGAAGAUGGUUGCCAAGACACAGGCCUUCCUGAGUGUCAGUACUCCCGAACCAACCGCCGUCCCAAAUGAAUUGGCAACGUCAUUGGCCCCCACCGAAAACGCCAGAAUAAAUGCAAUGAUGAAACCAACUACAACCAUCCACACGUACUCAUCUAGUGCCAUGGUCACUCGGGCUUGUAAUGCUUUUUAGAGGUACUGAGUUUUAAAAAAAUACUAUUGACUUAAAUAUACAAAAUAAGGUAACAAAAUAUUUGGAUAUGUAAUAAAUAACUGGAUUAAA